rnacentral:rRNA from 1 species
UGGGGAAUAUUGCACAAUGGGCGAAAGCCUGAUGCAGCAACGCCGCGUGAGGGACGACGGCCUUCGGGUUGUAAACCUCUUUUAGCAAGGAAGAAGCGAAAGUGACGGUACUUGCAGAAAAAGCGCCGGCUAACUACGUGCCAGCAGCCGCGGUAAUACGUAGGGCGCAAGCGUUAUCCGGAAUUAUUGGGCGUAAAGAGCUCGUAGGCGGUUUGUCGCGUCUGCUGUGAAAACCCGAGGCUCAACCUCGGGCCUGCAGUGGGUACGGGCAGACUAGAGUGCGGUAGGGGAGAUUGGAACUCCUGGUGUAGCGGUGGAAUGCGCAGAUAUCAGGAAGAACACCGAUGGCGAAGGCAGAUCUCUGGGCCGUAACUGACGCUGAGGAGCGAAAGGGUGGGGAGCAAACAGGCUUAGAUACCCUGGUAGUCCACCCGUAAACGUUGGGAACUAGUUGUGGGUCCAUUCCACGGAUUCCGUGACGCAGCUAACGCAUUAAGUUCCCCGCCUGGGGAGUACGGCCGCAAGGCUAAACUUAAAUGAAUUGACGGGGUCAUAGCUGUUUCCU